AUGUUGGGUCUGGCGGCGAUCGAUCGAGCCAGAAAGCGUCAAGCUUCUCGUCUGAUCUGGCUCAGGGCGGGGGACGCAGGAACCAAAUUCUUCCAUGCGAAGAUGCGAUCUCGCAGACGGAAAACCCACAUCCACAGCCUGAAGGUGGGCGACGGGAUCAUCACAGCCCAUGAGGAAAAAGAAGCUGCCAUCUUCAACCACUUCCAUGAUAACAUUAGGACCAAGACGGCGCGCUCGGCCGGCAUCAAUUGGCAUUUAGUUGAGAUGCCCUCGAUCCAAGCGAGCGGUCUUGACAACCCCUUCUCAGAAGAGGAAAUU
rnacentral:rRNA from 1 species